rnacentral:misc_RNA from 1 species
AACUUUUAGCAACGGAUCACAUGUGCUGCUCGAACUUUUAGCAACGGAUCACUUGGCUCUCGCAUCGAUGAAGAACGCAGCGAAAUGCGAUACGUAAUGUGAAUUGCAGAAUUCAGUGAAUCAUCGAAUCUUUGAACACACCUUGCGCCCCUUGGAAUUCCGAGGGGCACACCCGUUUGAGUGUCGUGAACAUCCUUCAACCUUUCUUGGUUUCUUAACCAGGGAAGGCUUGGACUUUGGGGGUCUUUCAUUGCUGGCCUCUUUGAAGCCAGCUCCUCCUAAAUGGAUUAGUGUGGUCUGCUUUGCCGAUCCUUGACGUGAUAAGAUGUUUCUACAUCUUGGGUUUCGCACUGUCGCUUUAGACCCUGCUUCUAACUGUCUUGCAUUCAAGACAGAGUUUUAAACCUUGACCUCAAAUCGGGUGAGACUACCCACUGAACUUAAGCAUAUCAAUAAGCGGAGGCU